rnacentral:rRNA from 1 species
AUUGGAGGGCAAGUCUGGUGCCAGCAGCCGCGGUAAUUCCAGCUCCAAUAGCGUAUAUUAAAGUUGUUGCAGUUAAAAAGCUCGUAGUUGGAUUUCUGUUAAUAAUUUAUAUAAAAUAUUUUGAAUAUUUAUAUAACAUUAACAUAAUUCAUAUUACUAUAUUUUUUAGUAUAUGAAAUUUUACUUUGAGAAAAUUAGAGUGCUUAAAGCAGGCAUAUGCCUUGAAUACUCCAGCAUGGAAUAAUAUUAAAGAUUUUUAUCUUUCUUAUUGGUUCUAAGAUAAGAAUAAUGAUUAAUAGGGACAGUUGGGGGCAUUUGUAUUUAACAGUCAGAGGUGAAAUUCUUAGAUUUGUUAAAGACAAACUAAUGCGAAAGCAUUUGCCAAGGAUGUUUUCAUUAAUCAAGAACGAAAGUUAGGGGAUCGAAGACGAUCAGAUACCGUCGUAGUCUUAACCAUAAACUAUGCCAACUAGAGAUUGGAGGUUGUUCCUUACUCCUUCAGCACCUUAA